rnacentral:rRNA from 1 species
GAUGAACGCUAGCGGCAGGCCUAAUACAUGCAAGUCGAGGGGAAGAGCUAGCUUGCUAGCUUGAGACCGGCGCACGGGUGCGUAACGCGUAUGCAACCUACCUCAAUCAGGGGGAUAGCCCGGAGAAACCCGGAUUAACACCGCAUAAAAACACAGGCUAGCAUUACCCAAUGUUCAAAUAUUCAUAUGAAUGGGAUGGGCAUGCGUGCCAUUAGCUAGUUGGCGGGGUAACGGCCCACCAAGGCGACGAUGGCUAGGGGAUCUGAGAGGAUGACCCCCCACACUGGUACUGAGACACGGACCAGACUCCUACGGGAGGCAGCAGUAAGGAAUAUUGGUCAAUGGGGGCAACCCUGAACCAGCCAUGCCGCGUGCAGGAUGACGGCCCUCCGGGUUGUAAACUGCUUUUGUACGGGAAUAAACCUUUCUUCGUGAAGAAAGCUGAAUGUACCGUAAGAAUAAGGAUCGGCUAACUCCGUGCCAGCCGCCGCCGUAA